rnacentral:rRNA from 1 species
AUCCUGGCUCAGGACGAACGCUGGCGGCGUGCCUAAUACAUGCAAGUCGAGCGAAUCAAUAGGAGCUUGCUCCUGUUGGUUAGCGGCGGACGGGUGAGUAACACGUGGGCAACCUGCCUGUAAGACUGGGAUAACACCGGGAAACCGGUGCUAAUACCGGAUAAUCCUUUUCCUCUCAUGAGGAAAAGCUGAAAGUCGGUUUCGGCUGACACUUACAGAUGGGCCCGCGGCGCAUUAGCUAGUUGGUGAGGUAACGGCUCACCAAGGCGACGAUGCGUAGCCGACCUGAGAGGGUGAUCGGCCACACUGGGACUGAGACACGGCCCAGACUCCUACGGGAGGCAGCAGUAGGGAAUCUUCCACAAUGGACGAAAGUCUGAUGGAGCAACGCCGCGUGAGCGAUGAAGGCCUUCGGGUCGUAAAGCUCUGUUGUUAGGGAAGAACAAG